rnacentral:rRNA from 1 species
AUUGAACGCUGGCGGCAGGCCUAACACAUGCAAGUCGAGCGGAUGAAGGGAGCUUGCUCCUGGAUUCAGCGGCGGACGGGUGAGUAAUGCCUAGGAAUCUGCCUGGUAGUGGGGGAUAACGUCCGGAAACGGGCGCUAAUACCGCAUCCGUCCUGAGGGAGAAAGUGGGGGAUCUUUGGACCUCACGCUAUCAGAUGAGCCUAGGUCGGAUUAGCUAGUUGGUGGGGUAAAGGCCUACCAAGGCGACGAUCCGUAACUGAUCUGAGAGGAUGAUCAGUCACACUGGAACUGAGACACGGUCCAGACUCCUACGGGAGGCAGCAGUGGGGAAUAUUGGACAAUGGGCGAAAGCCUGAUCCAGCCAUGCCGCGUGUGUGAAGAAGGUCUUCGGAUUGUAAAGCACUUUAAGUUGGGAGGAAGGGCAGUAAGUUAAUACCUUGCUGUUUUGACGUUACCAACAGAAUAAGCACCGGCUAACUUCGUG